GGAUGGGUGGCCGAGUGGUUUAAGGCAGCGGUCUUGAAAACCGCCGUGGGUGAAAGCCCACCGUGGGUUCGAAUCCCACCCCAUCCGCCA
rnacentral:tRNA from 1 species